UAACACGUGGGUAACCUGCCUGUAAGACUGGGAUAACUCCGGGAAACCGGGGCUAAUACCGGAUGGUUGUUUGAACCGCAUGGUUCACACAUAAAAGGUGGCUUCGGCUACCACUUACAGAUGGACCCGCGGCGCAUUAGCUAGUUGGUGAGGUAACGGCUCACCAACGCGACGAUGCGUAGCCGACCUGAGAGGGUGAUCGGCCACACUGGGACUGAGACACGGCCCAGACUCCUACGGGAGGCAGCAAUAGGGAAUCUUCCGCAAUGGACGAAAGUCUGACGGACCAACGCCGCGUGAGUGAUGAAGGUUUUCGGAUCGUAAAGCUCUGUUGUUAGGGAAGAACAAGUGCCGUUCAAAUAGGGCGGCAC
rnacentral:rRNA from 1 species